rnacentral:rRNA from 1 species
AUACGGAGGAUGCAAGCGUUAUCCGGAUUUAUUGGGUUUAAAGGGUGCGUAGGCGGUUUGCUAAGCGGGAGGUGAAAUGCCGGCGCUCAACGUCGGAAGUGCCUCCCGAACUGGUGGACUGGAAUGACUCUGCCGUGGGAGGAAUGUGUAGUGUAGCGGUGAAAUGCUUAGAGAUUACACAGAACACCGAUUGCGAAGGCAUCUCACGAAGGGUUGAUUGACGCUGAGGCACGAAAGCGUGGGGAUCAAACAGGAUUAGAUACCCUGGUAGUCCACGCAGUAAACGAUGAUGGCUAACCGCUGGUUUUUCGGAUCAGUGGCCAAGCGAAAGCGAUAAGCCAUCCACCUGGGGAGUACGACCGCAAGGUUGAAACUCAAAUGAAUUGACGGGG